GGCAGCGUGGCAUAGUGGUUUGAGCAUUGGACUGUGACACUAGAAGCCAGGGUUAGAGUUCCAGCUCGGCCA